GACGAACGCUGGCGGCGUGCUUAACACAUGCAAGUCGAACGGAAAGGCCCUGCUUUUGUGGGGUGCUCGAGUGGCGAACGGGUGAGUAACACGUGAGUAACCUGCCCUUGACUUUGGGAUAACUUCAGGAAACUGGGGCUAAUACCGGAUAGGAGCUCCUGCUGCAUGGUGGGGGUUGGAAAGUUUCGGCGGUUGGGGAUGGACUCGCGGCUUAUCAGCUUGUUGGUGGGGUAGUGGCUUACCAAGGCAUUGACGGGUAGCCGGCCUGAGAGGGUGACCGGCCACAUUGGGACUGAGAUACGGCGCAGACUCCUACGGGAGGCAGCAGUGGAGAAUAUUGCACAAUGGGCGGAAGCCUGAUGCAGCAACGCCGCGUGCGGGAUGACGGCCUUCGGGUUGUAAACCGCUUUCGCCUGUGACGAAGCGUGAGUGACGGUAAUGGGUAAAGAAGCACCGGCUAACUACGUG
rnacentral:rRNA from 1 species